rnacentral:tmRNA from 2 species
GGGGUCGUUACGGAUUCGACAGGCAUUAUGAGGCUUGUUCUGCAACUCAUCCAGCGGAUGUAAAACGCCAGUUAAAUAUAACUGCAAAAAAUACAAAUUCUUACGCAUUAGCAGCUUAAUAACCUGCCUGCGUGACUAGCAGUGGAUUGCUUGUGUCUGCUGUAUGGUCUUAAAUGAACAAGCUACGUUAGAAUUGUGUCAGUAGGUUCUAAAAGAGAUGUACUGAAUCGCUUGUAUAGGGCUUGAGUUGUGUGCCAUAUUCAAGUUAAAUUAAGACAUAACCUAUGGUUGUAGACGAAUAAGUUAGCAGGUGUUUGGACGUGGGUUCGACUCCCACCGGCUCCAUUA